AGAGUUUGAUCAUGGCUCAGAAUGAACGCUGGCGGCAGGCCUAACACAUGCAAGUCGAACGGAUCCUUCGGGAUUAGUGGCGGACGGGUGAGUAACGCGUGGGAACAUACCCAAAGGUACGGAAUAGCCUCGGGAAACUGGGAGUAAUACCGUAUGUGGUCGAGAGACGAAAGAUUUAUCGCCUUUGGAUUGGCCCGCGUUGGAUUAGGUAGUUGGUGGGGUAAUGGCCUACCAAGCCGACGAUCCAUAGCUGGUUUGAGAGGAUGAUCAGCCACACUGGGACUGAGACACGGCCCAGACUCCUACGGGAGGCAGCAGUGGGAAUCUUAGACAAUGGGGAAACCCUGAUCUAGCCAUGCCGCGUGAUCGAUGAAGGCCUUAGGGUUGUAAAGAUCUUUCAGAUGGGAAGAUAAUGACGGUACCAUCAGAAGAAGCCCCGGCUAACUCCGUG
rnacentral:rRNA from 1 species